rnacentral:rRNA from 1 species
GGGCGAAAGCCUGAUGCAGCAACGCCGCGUGAAGGAAGAAGGGUUUCGGCUCGUAAACUUCUAUCAACAGGGACGAAAAAAAUGACGGUACCUGAAUAAGAAGCCCCGGCUAACUACGUGCCAGCAGCCGCGGUAAUACGUAGGGGGCAAGCGUUAUCCGGAAUUACUGGGUGUAAAGGGAGAGUAGGCGGCAUGGUAAGUUAGAUGUGAAAGCCCGAGGCUUAACCUCGGGAUUGCAUUUAAAACUAUCAAGCUAGAGUACAGGAGAGGUAAGUGGAAUUCCUAGUGUAGCGGUGAAAUGCGUAGAUAUUAGGAAGAACACCAGUGGCGAAGGCGACUUACUGGACUGAAACUGACGCUGAGGCUCGAAAGCGUGGGGAGCGAACAGGAUUAGAUACCCUGGUAGUCCACGCUGUAAACGAUGAGUGCUAGGUGUCGGGGGGGAACCCUCGGUGCCGCAGCUAACGCAAUAAGCACUCCACCUGGGGAGUAC